UUUGAGCUGGACUUUGAAAGACGAGCUCUCCACAGAACUAAAUCUGGACCCAGUGCCAAGAGAGUCAGCCUCAGAAAUCAAUCCAGCCACCGCGGGAGGGGCAGUCGGGCUGUAGACUGACUUCCCACAGGCUCCCUGCCCCCAGGACAAGGACAGAUGGGGCCUCGGCCCCCCCAGGCUGUGAGAGCCCACACUCUCCCAGGAGGCCUGGCCAGGCGUCUGUGUACAAACUGCUGUCUUUUCCCACCAUCCAGCUCACCUCCAGGUAAGAGCUCUCUGCUCCAGGUGGACUCCCCCACCCUGUCUCCACCUCUUGAAUGCAACUUGCAUUUUCUUCCCCCAAGAAUGAAAAUCAUCAUGAUUGCUCUAAAUUACUUCCUACUUUUGUAGAAUGCUUUACAGAUUUCAAGAGACAAGGAAUACAGAGGACCGGUCAAGGGCAGAGCUUAAACCCAGCUCUGCCACAAAUUAUCCCGUGACCUUGGGCAGGCUAUUUAAUUUCUCAAGCCUCGGUUGCCACAUCUGUACAAUGGAGUAAUAGGGUUGCCAUGGGGAUGAAAUGAUUCACAGAUGUGAAGUUUUCAGAACAAAAUUCGCAACAGUGGGCACAAUGGAGAAGGUUACUAAGAUUGUAACCUCCUGGAAGUCUGGGCCACAUCUCACUGGUACUGCUGACAGUCUGGUUUCUCAGAGCCCUGGGCCUGCUCUGAGCAAGUGGCUUCAUGCAGGUCAGGGCUGGACAGGACCAGCUCAAUGAUCCUCCCUCAUGUCCAAGCCCUGCCUAUGUCUCGCUGAGAGGUUACAAAGGCCAAGCCGGCACACAGCCCUGCUCUCCACCUGUUUCUGGGUGAUCAAAUAUCACCUGCCUAAAGAUGCCCAGGUCCUAAUCCUCAGAACCUGUGAAUGUGCUAUGUCACGUGGCAAAGGGCAAGUAGGAUUGCAGGUGCCAGGAAGGUUGCUAAAGAGUUGAUCCUGAUAUGGAAAGAUUAUCUGGGUGUGCUCAGGAUAAUCCAGAGUCCUUAAGAAUGAAUGAGAAAGAAGGCAGAAGAGUGGGUCAGAGCUGUGCCUUAGGAAGGACUCCGCCUGCCACUGCUGGCCUUGAUCAUGGAGGAAGGAUCCCCAGGCCAGGAAGCUGGUGGGCCCCUAGAAGCCGCCCUGCCCCACCUUGAUUUUAGCUCACUGAGACCAAUUUCAGACUUCUGACUUCAGAGUGUAAAACAAUACAUCCAUGUUGUU